UACGAAGGGGGCUAGCGUUGCUCGGAAUCACUGGGCGUAAAGCGCACGUAGGCGGCUUUUUAAGUCAGGGGUGAAAUCCUGGAGCUCAACUCCAGAACUGCCUUUGAUACUGGGAAGCUUGAGUCCGGAAGAGGUGAGUGGAACUCCGAGUGUAGAGGUGAAAUUCGUAGAUAUUCGGAAGAACACCAGUGGCGAAGGCGGCUCACUGGUCCGGUACUGACGCUGAGGCACGAAGGUCAGGGGAGCAAACGGG
rnacentral:rRNA from 1 species